rnacentral:tRNA from 1 species
GAAGAGAUGGCUGAGUGGUUGAAAGCAACGGUUUGCUAAAUUGUCAUACAUAACAAUGUAUCGUAGGUUCGAAUCCUAUUCUCUUCA